GACGAACGCUGGCGGCGUGCCUAACACAUGCCAGUCGAACGGAAAGGCCCUGCUUUUGUGCGGUGCUCGAGUGGCGAACGGGGGAGUAACACGUGAGUAACCUGUCCCUGACUUUGGGAUAACUUCAGGAAACUGGGGCUAAUACAGCAUAGGAGCUCUUGCUGCAUGGUGUGCGUUGGAAAGUUUCGGUGGUUGGGGAUGGACUCGCGGCUUACCAGCUUGUUUGUGGGGUAGUGGCUUACCAAGGCUUUGACGGGUAGGCGGCCUGGGAGGGUGACCGGGCACAUUGGGACUGAGAUAGGGCCCAGACUCCUACGGGAGGCAGCGGGGGGAAGCAUGACGCAGUGAGCGGGAGCGAGAUGCAGAGACGCCGCGUGCGGGAUGACGGGCUACGGGUUAUGAACCGAUUUCGCCUGUACCGAGGAGGGAGUGACGGUAAUGGGUAAAAAAGCACCGGCUAACUACGUG
rnacentral:rRNA from 1 species